ACCUGUUUUGGGACUACAACUCCCAUCAUCCCUAGCUAACAGGACGAGUGGUCAGGGAUGAUGGGAAUUGUAGUCCCAAAACAGCU